rnacentral:rRNA from 1 species
AGAGUUUGAUCAUGGCUCAGGAUGAACGCUAGCGACAGGUCUAACACAUGCAAGUCGAGGGGCAUCGGGGCGAGGAGCAAUCCUUGCCGCCGGCGACCGGCGCACGGGUGAGUAACGCGUAUGCGACCUGCCCGUUGCAGGGGGAUAAUCGGGAGAGAUCCCGUCUAAUACCGCGUAAUGCCGCGGGGCUGCAUGGCCCUGCGGCCAAAGGGAGCGAUUCCGGCAACGGAUGGGCAUGCGUGACAUUAGCUAGUUGGCGGGGCAACGGCCCACCAAGGCGACGAUGUCUAGGGGUUCUGAGAGGAAGGUCCCCCACACUGGUACUGAGACACGGACCAGACUCCUACGGGAGGCAGCAGUGAGGAAUAUUGGUCAAUGGGCGCGAGCCUGAACCAGCCAAGUCGCGUGAGGGAUGACGGCCCUACGGGUUGUAAACCUCUUUUGUCGGGGAGCAAAUUCCGCCACGUGUGGCGGAGUCGAGAGUACCCGAAGAAAAAGCAUCGGCUAACUCCGUGCCAGCAGCCGCGGUAAUACGGAGGAUGCGAGCGUUAUCCGGAUUUAUUGGGUUUAAAGGGUGCGUAGGCGGACUGUCAAGUCAGCGGUAAAAUACGGGGGCUCAACCUCCGCCCGCCGUUGAAACUGACGGUCUUGAGUGGGCGAGAAGUAUGCGGAAUGCGUGGUGUAGCGGUGAAAUGCAUAGAUAUCACGCAGAACUCCGAUUGCGAAGGCAGCAUACCGGCGCCCAACUGACGCUGAAGCACGAAAGCGUGGGUAUCGAACAGGAUUAGAUACCCUGGUAGUCCACGCAGUAAACGAUGAAUACUAGCUGUCCGGGGCGAAUGAGCCCUGGGUGACACAGCGAAAGCGUUAAGCAUUCCACCUGGGGAGUACGCCGGCAACGGUGAAACUCAAAGGAAUUGACGGGGGCCCGCACAAGCGGAGGAACAUGUGGUUUAAUUCGAUGAUACGCGAGGAACCUUACCCGGGCUCAAACGUCGGAGGACGUGUGGAGAAAUCCGCAUUUCCCUCGGGACUUCCGACGAGGUGCUGCAUGGUUGUCGUCAGCUCGUGCCGUGAGGUGUCGGCUUAAGUGCCAUAACGAGCGCAACCCCCAUCUACAGUUGCUAACAGGUGAAGCUGAGGACUCUGUGGAGACUGCCGGCGCAAGCUGAGAGGAAGGCGGGGAUGACGUCAAAUCAGCACGGCCCUUACGUCCGGGGCGACACACGUGUUACAAUGGCAGGUACAGCGGGAAGCCACUUGGCGACAAGGAGCGGAACCCGAAAACCUGUCUCAGUUCGGAUUGGAGUCUGCAACCCGACUCCAUGAAGCUGGAUUCGCUAGUAAUCGCGCAUCAGCCACGGCGCGGUGAAUACGUUCCCGGGCCUUGCACACACCGCCCGUC